rnacentral:rRNA from 1 species
AUUGAACGCUGGCGGCAUGCCUUACACAUGCAAGUCGAACGGCAGCACGGGUGCUUGCACCUGGUGGCGAGUGGCGAACGGGUGAGUAAUACAUCGGAACGUACCUUAUCGUGGGGGAUAACGCAGCGAAAGUUGCGCUAAUACCGCAUACGCCCUGAGGGGGAAAGCGGGGGACCGUAAGGCCUCGCGCGAUUAGAGCGGCCGAUGUCUGAUUAGCUUGUUGGUGAGGUAAAAGCUCACCAAGGCGAUGAUCAGUAGCUGGUCUGAGAGGACGAUCAGCCACACUGGGACUGAGACACGGCCCAGACUCCUACGGGAGGCAGCAGUGGGGAAUUUUGGACAAUGGGGGCAACCCUGAUCCAGCAAUGCCGCGUGAGUGAAGAAGGCCUUCGGGUUGUAAAGCUCUUUUGUCAGGGAAGAAACAGCAGCUCUAACACAGACUGCGAAUGACGGUACCUGAAGAAUAAGCACCGGCUAACUACGUGCCAGCAGCCGCGGUAAUACGUAGGGUGCCAGCGUUAAUCGGAAUUACUGGGCGUAAA